rnacentral:rRNA from 1 species
GACGAACCGUGCGAACGUUGUUCGGAUUCACUGGGCUUAAAGGGCGCGUAGGCGGGGGACCCAGUCCGGGGUGAAAUCUUUCGGCUCAACCGGAAAAGCGCCUGGGAUACGGGUCCCCUCGAGGGAGGUAGGGGCAUGUGGAACUUCCGGUGGAGCGGUGAAAUGCGUAGAUAUCGGAAGGAACGCCGGUGGCGAAAGCGACGUGCUGGACCUCUUCUGACGCUGAGGCGCGAAAGCCAGGGGAGCAAACGG